rnacentral:tRNA from 1 species
CGGGGCGUGGCGCAGCUUGGUAGCGCAUCUGCUUUGGGAGCAGAGGGUCGGAGGUUCGAAUCCUCUCGCCCCGACCA